ensembl:lncRNA
AAAUUGGUCAGCCUGAGAAUAAGGUGUAUUUGUGCUUGCAGCUGUGUUGCACAGCAGCCAGCUACCUGCAGACUGCACUCAUUCCUGUAGCACCCCUGCACCAUUCACUCCACUCUUGCUCCAGCACCCUGUAGCCAAGUCCUAAGAGACUAAUUAUACCCAUUCCCUGUUUUGUGAUGAAGUUUCAUGGAAAGUUUUUAAAAACGUCUCACAACUGAUUAACAAGAAAGUCUUCAAGUUUUUUAAAAUGAGUUACAAGAACAUUAAAAAACAAGCUACAAGUUGGGGGGAAAGAUAAGAUCAUUUUUGAAGAAGAUUGGGGCUGGAUUAGGGAAUCAUGUACCAUCAAAACAAAUCUGCAUUUAAAAUACCGGUAAUUUCAAAACACAGCUGCUGUCAAAGAUAGCCUUCAGGAUGGAAGAAGAGAGGUUGUGAAAAAGGAAAAUCUGCAAAGUUUACAAGACCAUCAAGUGCUGGUUUACCUUUAUUCCCAUCAAAGUCAAUCCUGAAACAUCCUGAAAUACUCUACGUAUAAAUAUGCCCCUGGAAUUCAACAACAACAGAAUUGUAAUCCAACACCCAAGAGUCUGUAAGUUGAAAGAAAAGAUAGAAAAGAUCUUCAUAAAUCUGCAGAUAUCAGGAGCCACAAGGUGGUAGUAGAUUAUAUAUGCAUAAUCCUGUUGUAUUAUAGGAGUAGGGAUAUAUGGAACAGAAUUUAUUUCUUUUGACAGCAGACUGCAAGAUCUUGCUCAUUCCUGUUCUCUAAAUCUUUUAAAAAAUUGCUUUGUCUGGUAUUCUGCUAUGCUUUCCCUCUCUUUUCAUUUCACUUUUUCUUUUUUCCCCCUUUUAUAAAAUCUUUUCUAAUGUAAAAUGAGAAAAUAAAUAGCUCUUGAAGUCAGGAAGAUUUCUGAAAUACUUUUCAAGUUAUAUGCAACAAGCACAAAAUCUUCCAAGUUGUAACAAAUUCUAACAUGGAUGCAUGUUCGAAGUUUAAGUAUAUGAUUCUUUCAACAAUGCACAGACUGCUGAAUUUCAUCUGUUGUUGUAAGUUAGAGAUAAGGUUACAGGAAAAAAAAAAAAAAAACAGAAGUUAUUUAAUACAUUGCCGAUUGUUGCAAGUAGUAGUGAAGCCUACAAAAAAUCAUCUUAUGAAGUCAUAAAAAUGAAUGUCACAGUUAUAAUUCACAGAUCAUAGUCCAUG